rnacentral:siRNA from 1 species
AGAAAUAAUCUGUCACGUUAUGA